UACGGGAGUGGCAAGCGUUAUCCGGAAUUAUUGGGCGUAAAGCGUCCGCAGGCGGUCUUGUAAGUCUGUUGUUAAAGCGUGGAGCUUAACUCCAUUUCAGCAAUGGAAACUGUAAGACUAGAGUGUGGUAGGGGCAGAGGGAAUUCCCGGUGUAGCGGUGAAAUGCGUAGAUAUCGGGAAGAACACCAGUGGCGAAGGCGCUCUGCUGGGCCAUAACUGACGCUCAUGGACGAAAGCCAGGGGAGCGAAAGGGAUUAGAUACCCCUGUAGUCCUGGCCGUAAACGAUGAACACUAGGUGUCGGGGGAAUCGACCCCCUCGGUGUCGUAGCCAACGCGUUAAGUGUUCCGCCUGGGGAGUACGCACGCAAGUGUGAAACUCAAAGGAAUUGACGGGGGCCCGCACAAGCGGUGGAGUAUGUGGUUUAAUUCGAUGCAACGCGAAGAACCUUACCAGGGUUUGACAUCCUGCGAAUCUUUUGGAAACAGAAGAGUGCCUUCGGGAACGCAGUGACAGGUGGUGCAUGGCUGUCGUCAGCUCGUGUCGUGAGAUGUUGGGUUAAGUCCCGCAACGAGCGCAACCCACGUCGUUAGUUGCCAGCAUUGAGUUGGGCACUCUAGCGAGACCGCCGGUGAUAAACCGGAGGAAGGUGUGGAUGACGUCAAGUCAUCAUGCCCCUUACAUCCUGGGCUACACACGUACUACAAUGCUACGGACAAAGGGCAGCAAACUCGCGAGAGCUAGCAAAUCCCAUAAACCGUGGCUCAGUUCAGAUCGUAGGCUGCAACUCGCCUACGUGAAGGAGGAAUCGCUAGUAAUCGCAGGUCAGCAUACUGCGGUGAAUACGUUCCCGGGCCU
rnacentral:rRNA from 1 species